AGAACGAACGCUGGCGGCAGGCUUAACACAUGCAAGUCGAACGCUCUCUUCGGAGAGAGUGGCAGACGGGUGAGUAACGCGUGGGAACCUACCCUUUACUACGGAAUAGCUCCGGGAAACUGGAAUUAAUACCGUAUGUGCCCUACGGGGGAAAGAUUUAUCGGUAAAGGAUGGGCCCGCGUUGGAUUAGCUAGUUGGUGGGGUAACGGCCUACCAAGGCGACGAUCCAUAGCUGGUCUGAGAGGAUGAUCAGCCACACUGGGACUGAGACACGGCCCAGACUCCUACGGGAGGCAGCAGUGGGGAAUAUUGGACAAUGGGCGAAAGCCUGAUCCAGCCAUGCCGCGUGAGUGAGGAAGGCCUUAGGGUUGUAAAGCUCUUUCACCCGCGACGAUGAUGACGGUAGCGGGAGAAGAGCCCGGCUAACUUCGUGCCAGCAGCCGC
rnacentral:rRNA from 1 species